rnacentral:rRNA from 1 species
AUGGCGCAGAUGCAAGGGGCUGUGCCUUCUCCAGAUGUUUAUGCGCUGAGUGCAGCUGUAGUGAACCAUUCUGAACACAAGGCACGUCGUCUAUUAGGCACUGAUUGGAUAUGCGUGAAGUGUGGUAACCCUUUUCCACCAAGCAAGAAUUACCUCGCAAAUCUUCCACAUUUCAAGUGCACCUUUUGCAAUGUUGAGAAUCAGACAAGUUACUUUUGGUCAAUGGUAAAGUGUCUUGUCAAUGAUGUUAGCUUGAACUUUAAGAUCUACAAGCAACGAAACGGUCAAUGUGUACUUUUUGCAUUGUUUGCUGUCUGUGAUCUUGCAAGAAGGAUGAGGGGUGCUCGUCAUGGCUUGAUCGAAUCAAAUCCAUUCUCAGGCGAUAUCAUGCUUAGAUAUUAUGAACGAGAAAAUGGCUAUACUCUGCUUGAAGGACCAGAAGGAGGUGAAGAUUAUUAUGUGUAUGAGAACAUGCUUAGAACGGCCUAUCUGUAUGGUAUUCCCUAUCGGCUCACAGGGUAUGAUAAAAAACUUAAUUUACCUAAGCAUUUCGCCAGAAGGCAUUUGAAGAUUAAGAGUUGGUUUCGUGUUAAGACCAUAGUUUUAAAUAGCCGGCUAUAG